GCCGAAGUGGCGGAACUGGCAGACGCGCUGUCUUGAGGGGGCAGUGCCCUUCGGGGCGUGCGGGUUCGAGUCCCGCCUUCGGCACCA
rnacentral:tRNA from 1 species